rnacentral:misc_RNA from 1 species
AAAAAGUUUGGUUUAAAAGACCGACACCUUUUGUGCACCUUUAUCUGUCUUUGGUAACUCGUGUGUUCUGUUGGCUAACUGCCUUCGGAAUCUACCUGGAUUCGCUCCGGGUUGGGUUGCCAAACUUGUUAAAAACGUUUUUUCUUUUAUUUUGUAUGUGUUAAUCACUUUGAUUAAUUAAACUUAA